AUGCGUGAGACAGGUUGGUCUCUAUCUGUUGCAGGCGUUGAAUAUUUGAGGGAAGUCGAUCCUAGUAAGCCGCAAAGCGGCUCAUGCUACUGUCGCGAGUAAUCGCGACUGACAAUUCGGCUAAUAACGGUGAAGUCUUACAAAGUUCAGGUUCGUUGAUACCUAUAUUCUCAAUCGGUCCGAUCGGAUAUAGAACAAUUUACUUGAGGACCAGAAUGUAAUAAGAUAAUACCGUGGGAAGUCGACCAAACAUUGAUUUAGUGUAUAUCGCUGGCUUUCUUGAUGGCGAUGGGAGUUUGAUGCUCCAAAUCAAGAAGCGAAAAGACGGAACGCUGAAGCGACGUUUCAUGUGCACGAUUUGUUUUUAUCAAGACAGUCGUCAUGACGCGCCUCUUCGUUGGAUCAGAAAGAUUCUUGGUAUCGGUUAUAUCUCUCGUCGUAAUGACGGUAUGACUGAACUAAGAAUUAAUGGAUUCAAACAGGCAAGAAAGAUUGUUGGAGAUCUUUUACCGUUCAUUCGUUUUAAGAAAAAGCAGGCGAGAGCUUUAUAUAAAGCCUCGAGUCUGCUUGCAUCAAAGAAAAGCAAGCAUCUUUCGGAACGCGAUCUGCGCAUGAUUGCAGAUCGCAUACUCGUAAUACAAGAAAAUAAUUAUGUUACGAGGCGAAAGAAAACAAAGCAUGAUAUAUACGAGAUGUUGGGUCUGACCCCGUAACGACUUGUCUCUGGCGUUGUGCCAGAGCGGAAUGAAAUUUUAGAGUUUCAUUAAUACGCCAACCCCGCCCCAGGCGGGUGAAGAUAUAGUCUGCGCCUUUAGUGAUAAAGGAUUAACGUGACGAGAGGACCGGAUUGAACGAACCUCUGGUCUACCAGCUUUGGUACCAACUGAAGCGCUGGGUAGCUAUGUUCGGAAGGGAUAAGCACUGAAAGCAUCUAAGUGCGAAGCCCACCCCAAGAUAAGAUAUUCGUUAUGUCGCAAGACGUAACAAUGACUCGUAGAAGACUACUACGUUGAUAGGUUCUAAGUGUACGCACCGUAAGGUGUUUAGCUAAGGAAUACUAAUUAGUCAUAUAAAUCUCACAA
rnacentral:ncRNA from 1 species